rnacentral:lncRNA from 1 species
AUGAUCGGUCUGGUACUGUUGGUACGGUUAUCGGUCGGAGAUAGAAGCGAGGAAGUGAGUAACAAACUCAUUCAUCUGAGAACCCACAGUUGGUACUAAAUAGAAGAUUUUAAUGUGUGAAAGAGGUUAUUAGAGCUUCAUGAAUAUUCUUGGCUUAUGGUGGAUCUUUAAUAAGAUCAUUCAAUUGGUGAACCUGAUAGCUAGACUAUGAUCCCAGCACAUGUUGAGGGGGAAUUGAAUUGUCAAAGAGCCAGGUUUUGAUCCUAAAAGUGAAGAUGCUGAUGAACUUAAAGAAUCAAGAGAUCUGAUCAAGAGACUGAGUAAAACGAAGAGUUCGAGAAAAAUGUUUGGAUGCCCGAAGACUGAUCAAGACUGAAGAUGUGAAGACUCGACACUUAAGACUCGUCAACAUCUGAGGGGGAGUCUGUUGGUGCAUACAUCUGUCGACUUCGUCUUGUAUCGAGUCUUAGUCUUAGAAUGUUAGAUCAGGGCACAUUGUACGAGAUUUCCCAAGAAAGUUGAUUUCCCAUAUAUGGACAUGUCACUAUGUGGGAAAUCAGAAAGUUGAUUUCACAUAUAUGGACAUGUCACUAUGUAGGAAUCAGCAUGUCACUAUGUGGGAAAUCAGCAUGUCACUAUGUGGGAAAUCAGGAUGUCACUAUGUGGGAAAUCAGGAGAUUUCAUUUGAUUUCGCUUUUAUGGACAUGUGUCCUAUGAGCGAAAUCCCAUGCCUAUAUAUAGGUCUCUUGGGCGAAAUCAGUUGUAUCAUUCUUGUUUCCGGUACCGAAUUGCUGCCGAAGUGCCGUUUGACUUGUAAACAGUGUGAAAUCAAUAUACAAGGCAAGAUUUAGUAGAACAAGCUGUUUUUCGUGUCCGUUUCUUGUUAUUCCGCACCUGAAACGGAUUAGAACACCUCCGAUUGACUCGUUCGGGUCAUCACGCGAUCCUAC